CCCGCACCUAGACGACGAGACGAAAAGCCGGACGCCCUGCCGGCUUGGUGUGGGAACUUUCUCUCCAGGG
rnacentral:sRNA from 1 species